UCCCUGGUGGUCCAGGGAAUAAGAUUCUGCAUUGCCAGUGCAGAGGGCCUGGGUUCAAUCCUUAGUUAGGGAA
rnacentral:tRNA from 1 species